UACGGGGGGGGCAAGCGUUGUUCGGAAUUACUGGGCGUAAAGGGCUCGUAGGCGGCCAACUAAGUCAGACGUGAAAUCCCUCGGCUUAACCGGGGAACGGCGUCUGAUACUGGAUGGCUUGAGAUUGGGAGAGGGAUGCGGAAUUCCAGGUGUAGCGGUGAAAUGCGUAGAUAUCUGGAGGAACACCGGUGGCGAAGGCGGCAUCCUGGACCAACACUGACGCUGAGGAGCGAAAGCCAGGGGAGCAAACGGG
rnacentral:rRNA from 1 species